CCCAAUCUACCUUGAAAAUCCACGACAUAAACCCUGGCUAUAAAAACCCAGACACAUAUUCUGUGUUAAACACCAUUCAUAAACACAUGGUUCUGGUUUUUCUUGAAUGCUGGCUUUAGGUUCUCUUUGAUCAGGAGAGCAUUACUGUCUAGCAUGGUAUGAACAAUGAACUUUUUAAGUAUUUGGAAAGCCUUGUUGGAAAUAUGUACCUUGAGUGGUUUCUGCUGCCACUUAGUUUGCCAAGUUGGUUGGUAUUAUUUGCACUAUAUUCAUGAGUCAUUGACAAAUGCAGAUUUGUCUUCAAUAUUGUUGUUGCUCCUAUUGUAUGGUCAGACUGAUACAUAUGACCACCCAUGCUAUUUCAUAGAGUUGAAGGUUUCUACCUUUUCCAAUGGAUACAUUCUUUGGGCAGCAUCUCUGUUUAAAGUCAUGCCCUUGUCAGAAAUGACUUCAUCCGAUGGUGAGAAUUAAUUACAUAAUUUCAUUCAAGUACAGUAUAUGCCAUAAGCAAUAUGCUGGCCUUAAUCUUGUUUAUUGGUUUUAGUCUUUUGACCUUCUUUGUGGCUAUAAUUUUUAUCCUUGCAGUAUGUACAAACAUAUAUCUGUUUCUUCUUGAUUGUGGCUGAACAAAUCUGGAUAAAUACAGGCUGGACGAAUAAGGAACCCUUCCAAAGUAUGAUCCUAGAAGGUUUUUGUGUAAGAUUAUUGAUUUGGAACUUGCAUUGUGUGUGGUUAAUCAUUACCUUGCACUCAAGAGGAUUGCUAUCAAUCCAUCCCUCAAGCCUUAGUGCGAUGGCAAAUGCCUUCCACCAAAAGCGAUAGGUUGCAGGUUCAAGUCCAGGAAUCAGCCUCUCUAAAAUAUUGACGAAUUCUCCCAAAUCCUGCAAAAAUGGGAGUUUUGUGCACUAGAUAUGACCUUUUUUUAUAUAAACGCAUAAAAUAGAUUUGGUCCAAGGCCUUUUAAGUAUGUCAAUGGGAAACCGCAGGUUUAGUGCUUAGUAACAUUCAUAAUGCAAGCUUUUAUAUUCAACAGCAGUCUUCAAGUACAAAGGAUCUGGUUAUAUGGAGUUUUGGUCAUAUGAAUCAAUCAAAAUCGGGUGUAAAGGCCUGAAAGGUUUGAAACUUUGAUAUCAGUGCAUUUCUGAGUGUCUUUUAAUGUAUUAUUGGCAGUAGUUGGAUAAUGGAGUUGAAGUUAGUUUGCUGUGGUGUGAAUGCUUGGGCUUGGUUUCGCUGAAAGCAAUCAAAACUCUUCUUCUUAAGGACUUUGUCUUGAGUGAUUAUACAAUUGAUAUAUAUAUAUAUAUAUAUAUAUAUCCAGGUGCCCAUUGCUUGAGAUUAUGUUUAACAGGCUUAAGUUAGCUAUUCUCCAUGGGCUGUUAAUUAGUAGCAGAUAAUGUAUAAAUAGCUCUAGUGCUGAACAUAUACUGUACUGAUUCAUUUAUCUCAUUUGAUCAAUAUACAGAACUUCUAUUCUUCUCAAAAAAAAAAAAAAAGGAAGAAUUUGGGGAGCAGAAUGUGCGAGUACCUCCUCAAUAACUAUAUUAGUUGCAUUUGCACAAAAAAAUCUGCAAACAUCUCCAUCACACGAAGAACAAAUAUUGUACAUGUGCAAAAGGUUGAAGUCAGGAAGCCAUGUUUUAUGAGUGCCCAAGAUGACAGAGACGUUGCAGUCAUUGUGUUUUUGGAGUUGGAUUGAAAAAAACCCCUAGUGGGAAAGUGGAAUAGUUAGCAAGUUAUUUUGAUGUAUAUAUUUUUUAACAGAAAGAAGUUACUUUGCUAAGAUAUAUACAUUUUUUUCUCUAUCUACACAGUUGAAGUAAUUAUAACUCUGGGUAGUUUAAUGUUCUAGUAAGAUAGAUUUCACUUUCUUCUUU